CCCUUAGAUGUUCUGGGCCGCACGCGCGCUACACUGACUACUUCAACGAGUUGUUUCCUUGAUCGAAAGGUCUGGGUAAUCUUUGAAAGGUAGUCGUGAUGGGGAUAGAUCCUUGCAAUUUUUGAUCUUCAACGAGGAAUUCCUAGUAAACGCAAGUCAUCAGCUUGCAUUGAUUACGUCCCUGCCCUUUGUACACACCGCCCGUCGCACCUACCGAUUGAAUGGUCCGGUGAAUCUUUAGGACUGUGGCUGAGGCCUUGCCUUGUGCGGGUCUGGCCGUGGGUAUUUAGUUAAACCUUACCAUUUAGAGGAAGGUGAAGUCGUAACA
rnacentral:rRNA from 1 species